rnacentral:rRNA from 1 species
GAUGAACGCUGGCGGCGUGCCUAAUACAUGCAAGUCGAGCGAACAGACGAGGAGCUUGCUCCUCUGACGUUAGCGGCGGACGGGUGAGUAACACGUGGAUAACCUACCAAUAAGACUGGGAUAACUUCGGGAAACCGGAGCUAAUACCGGAUAAUAUAUUGAACCGCAUGGUUCAAUAGUGAAAGACGGUUUUGCUGUCACUUAUAGAUGGAUCCGCGCCGCAUUAGCUAGUUGGUAAGGUAACGGCUUACCAAGGCGACGAUGCGUAGCCGACCUGAGAGGGUGAUCGGCCACACUGGAACUGAGACACGGUCCAGACUCCUACGGGAGGCAGCAGUAGGGAAUCUUCCGCAACGGGCGAAAGCCUGACGGAGCAACGCCGCGUGAGUGAUGAAGGUCUUCGGAUCGUAAAACUCUGUUAUUAGGGAAGAACAAAUGUGUAAGUAACUAUGCACGUCUUGACGGUACCUAAUCAGAAAGCCACGGCUAACUACGUG